GGGGAGAUGGUCUAAUUUGGUAGGAUGCUGGUUUCGGGAACCAGAGGUUCUGGGUUCAAAUCCCAGUCUCCCCA
rnacentral:tRNA from 1 species